rnacentral:rRNA from 1 species
UACGGAGGGGGCUAGCGUUGUUCGGAAUUACUGGGCGUAAAGCGCACGUAGGCGGCUAUUCAAGUCGGGGGUGAAAGCCCGGGGCUCAACCCCGGAACUGCCCUCGAAACUAGGUAGCUAGAAUCUUGGAGAGGUCAGUGGAAUUCCGAGUGUAGAGGUGAAAUUCGUAGAUAUUCGGAAGAACACCAGUGGCGAAGGCGACUGACUGGACAAGUAUUGACGCUGAGGUGCGAAAGCGUGGGGAGCAAACAGG